CGAUGAUACGCGAGGAACCUUACCCGGGCUUGAAAUGCAUCUGACCGGCCUUGAAGGAGGCAUCCCCUUUCGGGGCAGAUGUGUAGGUGCUGCAUGGUUGUCGUCAGCUCGUGCCGUGAGGUGUCGGCUUAAGUGCCAUAACGAGCGCAACCCUCAUCAUUAGUUACCAUCAGGUAAGGCUGGGGACUCUAAUGAGACUGCCAUCGUAAGAUGUGAGGAAGGUGGGGAUGACGUCAAAUCAGCACGGCCCUUACGUCCGGGGCGACACACGUGUUACAAUGGGUGGUACAAAGGGCAGCUACCUGGCGACAGGAUGCUAAUCUCGAAAACCGCUCUCAGUUCGGAUCGGAGUCUGCAACUCGACUCCGUGAAGCUGGAUUCGCUAGUAAUCGCGCAUCAGCCACGGCGCGGUGAAUACGUUCCCGGGCCUU
rnacentral:rRNA from 1 species